rnacentral:rRNA from 1 species
AUGAACGCUAGCGACAGGCUUAACACAUGCAAGUCGAGGGGCAGCGGGGGUAGCAAUACCCGCCGGCGACCGGCGCACGGGUGAGUAACGCGUAUGCAACUUACCUAUCAGAGGGGGAUAACCCGGCGAAAGUCGGACUAAUACCGCAUGAAGCAGGGGCCCCGCAUGGGGAUAUUUGCUAAAGAUUCAUCGCUGAUAGAUAGGCAUGCGUUCCAUUAGGCAGUUGGCGGGGUAACGGCCCACCAAACCGACGAUGGAUAGGGGUUCUGAGAGGAAGGUCCCCCACAUUGGUACUGAGACACGGACCAAACUCCUACGGGAGGCAGCAGUGAGGAAUAUUGGUCAAUGGCCGAGAGGCUGAACCAGCCAAGUCGCGUGAGGGAUGAAGGUUCUAUGGAUCGUAAACCUCUUUUAUAAGGGAAUAAAGUGCGGGACGUGUCCCGUUUUGUAUGUACCUUAUGAAUAAGGAUCGGCUAACUCCGUGCCAGCAGCCGCGGUAAUACGGAGGAUCCGAGCGUUAUCCGGAUUUAUUGGGUUUAAAGGGUGCGUAGGCGGCCUUUUAAGUCAGCGGUGAAAGUCUGUGGCUCAACCAUAGAAUUGCCGUUGAAACUGGGGGGCUUGAGUAUGUUUGAGGCAGGCGGAAUGCGUGGUGUAGCGGUGAAAUGCAUAGAUAUCACGCAGAACCCCGAUUGCGAAGGCAGCCUGCCAAGCCAUUACUGACGCUGAUGCACGAAAGCGUGGGGAUCAAACAGGAUUAGAUACCCUGGUAGUCCACGCAGUAAACGAUGAUCACUAGCUGUUUGCGAUACACUGUAAGCGGCACAGCGAAAGCGUUAAGUGAUCCACCUGGGGAGUACGCCGGCAACGGUGAAACUCAAAGGAAUUGACGGGGGCCCGCACAAGCGGAGGAACAUGUGGUUUAAUUCGAUGAUACGCGAGGAACCUUACCCGGGUUUGAACGCAUUCGGACCGAGGUGGAAACACCUUUUCUAGCAAUAGCCGUUUGCGAGGUGCUGCAUGGUUGUCGUCAGCUCGUGCCGUGAGGUGUCGGCUUAAGUGCCAUAACGAGCGCAACCCUUGCCACUAGUUACUAACAGGUUAGGCUGAGGACUCUGGUGGGACUGCCAGCGUAAGCUGCGAGGAAGGCGGGGAUGACGUCAAAUCAGCACGGCCCUUACAUCCGGGGCGACACACGUGUUACAAUGGCGUGGACAAAGGGAUGCCACCUGGCGACAGGGAGCGAAUCCCCAAACCACGUCUCAGUUCGGAUCGGAGUCUGCAACCCGACUCCGUGAAGCUGGAUUCGCUAGUAAUCGCGCAUCAGCCAUGGCGCGGUGAAUACGUUCCCGGGCCUUGUACACACCACCCGUCAAGCCAUGGGAGCCGGGGGUACCUGAAGUCCGUAACCGAAAGGAUCGGCCUAGGGUAAAACUGGUGACUGGGGCU